rnacentral:lncRNA from 10 species
AGGGCCUUCUUAUAUCCUACUCCUUAUAUUCUGCCACCUAUUCUCUGCCUCAGAUACUCUCUUCCCACCCUUUAUUUUAAAAAAAAUGUUUUUUUUUGAGUUGGAGUUUCAUUCUUGUUGCCCAGGCUGGAGUGCAAUGGCACGAUCUUGGCUCACUGCAACCUCCGUCUCCUGGGUUCAAGGGAUUCUCCUGCCUCAGCCUCCAGAGUAGCUGGGAUUACAGGUGUGCACCACCAUGCUUGGCUAAUUUUUUAUUAUUAGUAGAGACAGGGCUUUACCAUGUUGGCCAGGCUGGUCUUGAACUCCUGAGCUCAGGUGAUCCACCUGCCUCAGCCUCCUAAAGUGCUGGUAUUACAGGCGUGAGCCACCGUGCCCGGCCCCACCCUUUACUUUAGUAGCCCUUUCUUAUCUUUCAGUGCUCGAUUUAAAUGUUACCUCCUCAAAGAAGCCUUCCCUGACUCAUCUUGGUUCCAUCUCCCCUUUCUAUCUCUGCUAUUUUUAACAAGUUUUUAAAUAUAAAAUAAAGCACAGUUAGAGAAAACUACACAAAACAAAGCUUAAGGAGUUAAAGUGAACACCCUUGUAACCACCACCCAGGUCAAGAAAUAGAAUGUUGUGAGCCAUCCCAGAGGCUCCUCCAUUUGCCACAUUCAAAUCACAGCUCCCUCCUUCCCUGCAAAAGUAGCCACGAUUCUUUUUUUUUUUUUUUUUUGCUGAUUAUUUCCUUGUGUUUCUUUAUGGUUUUUAUCAUCUAUGUAUGCAUUUCUAGACAGUAUAGGGUUUUUAAAAAUAUAUUUUCUUAGUGGUUACUAUGGGGACUACAGUCAACAUCUUGAAUUUAUAACCCUCUAGUUUAAAUUGAUACCAGCAUAGUUUUAAUAGCAUAUAAAAAUUCUGUACCUUUGUAGCUCCACCCCACUUUGUUGUCACAGCUUACAUUUUUGUACAUUGUAUGCCCAGUAAUAUAAAUUUAAAAUUAUUUUUAAGCAUUUGCUUUUUAAAUCAUGUAGGAAAUAAAAUGGAGUUACAAACCAGACUUGCAGUAUUACUGGCUUUUAUUUGUAUGCAGUUACUUUUACCGGAGAUCUUCAUUUCUUCAUAUGGCUUCAAGUUACUAUCUAGUGUCAUUUUGUUUCAACUUGAAGGCUGCCCUUUAGCAUUUCUCACAGGGCAGGUCUACAGGUAACGAGCUCCCCUAACUUUUGUUCGCCUGGGAAUGUUUUAUUACUCCAUUUUUGAAGGGCAGUUUUGCUGGAUAUAGAAUUCUUUGUUGAUAAUAUUUUGUUUUCUUUCAGCACUUUAUUAUUUAUUUUUUAAUAGAGACAGGGUUUUGCCAUGUUGCCCAGGCUGGUUUUGAACUCCUGAGCUCAAGCAAUCCACCCACCUCAGCCUGGGAUUACAGGUGUCCACCACUAUGCUCAGCCUCUUUUGAAGCAGU